rnacentral:snRNA from 1 species
UUUUUUCGCCGAAAAGCUUAAA